rnacentral:rRNA from 1 species
AGUGAACGCUGGCGGUAGGCCUAACACAUGCAAGUCGAACGGCAGCACAGUAAGAGCUUGCUCUUACGGGUGGCGAGUGGCGGACGGGUGAGGAAUACAUCGGAAUCUACUUUUUCGGGGGGGAUAACGUAGGGAAACUUACGCUAAUACCGCAUACGACCUACGGGUGAAAGCAGGAGAUCUUCACACCUUUCGCGAUUGAAUGAGCCGAUGUCGGAUUAGCUAGUUGGCGGGGUAAAGGCCCACCAAGGCGACGAUCCGUAGCUGGGCUGAGAGGAUGAUCAGCCACACUGGAACUGAGACACAGUCCAGACUCCUACGGGAGGCAGCAGUGGGGAAUAUUGGACAAUGGGCGCAAGCCUGAUCCAGCCAUACCGCGUGGGUGAAGAAGGCCUUCGGGUUGUAAAGCCCUUUUGUUGGGAAAGAAAAGCAGCAGGUUAAUACCCCGCUGUUCUGACGGUACCCAAAGAAUAAGCACCGGCUAACUUCGUG